rnacentral:lncRNA from 1 species
AAAGCAGCAGUGAAGAGUUUCGGAGAACCGUAUUAGGUAAGUCGCAAUUAAUCCUCCCUCAUAUUUCUUUUUUUCAUUAGCAACUUUUCAGUUCUCCGAUGUCUUGUUAUCAUCAUUACCUUGUGAAGAGUUAUAAUCAGUGAUAGAAACACUAAAAAUAAAGGCAGUCCUUUCUAACCUUGGUCUUGGGGACCACGAGCAACACUCUAACAUGAUGUCUAGCCUGGAUGACACUGGCUAUGCUGCCUGUUCCCUCAGGCCAGAAAUGAUUGUUGAGAGAGGACAACAAAGGGAAGGAGUCACAAUUCUGACUCCUGCAGCCUACUGAGAGCCAACCCCUCCACUGACUGUUUCCUUCUUCCUCAGUAUUCUUCUCUUUAAAUGUAUGGUUUAGAAAAAAUGCAAAGAAGCUAGGUCUGGUUCAUUUUUCCUGUUUCUCUGCUCAGCUGUGUCACAGUACCUAAUUAAAAUUGGCAAGUUAUUUAAAGAUCCAGUAUAGGCCAUCGUGUUCUCUCUCUCUCUCUCUCUCUCUCUCUACUAUUAUUGCUCCACCUGGUUUUAGAGCCAGAGGGUUCCAUAUACACUCUCCAUAGGCCAGACUUGGAGUCACAGUUGGCAGGUUACAUCAGUGACACAAAAUAUAUCUGGAAGCAUAACUGACAUGAUUAAUCCCUUUGCUUUUCUUCUGUCCUUGUAGAUACUGUCUGCCAAUUCUAAGAUAUCCAUCACCUUUUUGCCAAAUUGUUUUUCUCCAGAGCAAAGAACUAAGACUCAAUGUCACUAGUAUGUGGGUGAACAGGAGUACUGCAAAAACAAGUGAAUAGGAAGGAAGCUGGUAGUUGAGAGAUGGGUUUUGGGGAAAGGGACUGUCUGAAAAGUUUAUGAGAGAUCAAAAUGAGAGGGGAGCCUUCCAUCACCUAGUUCCUCUCUUUUUGUGCCAUACCCUGUAGAUAGAACCAGCUCAGACUCAAGCUCAGAUGAGGAUUUUUUCAUACGACGUCCUGGAAAACACAGAGAACGCAGAGGACCACCACCUUCUCCUAAUGAUGAAAACGAAGAUGAGGAAGCUCCACCAGGGCCACCCCCACCAGGGCCACCCCCACCCAGUGAUGAACCUCAGCCAAAUCCACCCCCACCAGAGGAGCAACCUGAGCAGAGUUCAGAUGAGGACUGACUAUCCAAGUAAUCUGAAAGUCAUUAACAGAGCAUGAGUGUGAACAUACCAGUCCUUCAGAAAGCCAUGACAUUGGAAGAAGGCACUCUGUCUUCAAUUUACCAAUAAAAUAAUCAGCAUCCAGUUUCUAAGUGUCA